rnacentral:rRNA from 1 species
UACGUAGGGUGCAAGCGUUAAUCGGAAUUACUGGGCGUAAAGCGUGCGCAGGCGGUUGUGCAAGACAGAUGUGAAAUCCCCGGGCUUAACCUGGGAACUGCAUUUGUGACUGCACGGCUAGAGUGUGUCAGAGGGGGGUAGAAUUCCACGUGUAGCAGUGAAAUGCGUAGAGAUGUGGAGGAACACCGAUGGCGAAGGCAGCCCCCUGGGCCAAUACUGACGCUCAUGCACGAAAGCGUGGGGAGCAAACAGGAAUUAGAACCGUACCGU